CGGGAUUAGAGUUUGAUCAUGGCUCAGAACGAACGCUGGCGGCAGGCUUAACACAUGCAAGUCGAGCGCAUCCUUCGGGGUGAGCGGCAGACGGGUGAGUAACGCGUGGGGAUGUGCCUUGAGGUGGGGAAUAACUGUGGGAAACUACAGCUAAUACCGCAUAAGCCCUUCGGGGGAAAGAUUUAUCGCCUUUAGAGCAACCCGCGUCAGAUUAGCUAGUUGGUAGGGUAAUGGCCUACCAAGGCGACGAUCUGUAGCUGGUCUGAGAGGAUGACCAGCCACACUGGGACUGAGACACGGCCCAGACUCCUACGGGAGGCAGCAGUGGGGAAUAUUGGACAAUGGGCGCAAGCCUGAUCCAGCCAUGCCGCGUGAGUGAUGACGGCCUUAGGGUUGUAAAGCUCUUUUAACAGGGACGAUAAUGACGGUACCUGUAGAAUAAGCCCCGGCAAACUUCGUGCCAGCAGCCGCGGUAAUUC
rnacentral:rRNA from 1 species